rnacentral:rRNA from 1 species
AAUAUUGGACACUGGGGGCAACCCUGUUCCAGCCAUGCCGCGUGUGUGAAGAAGGUCUUCGGAUUGUAAAGCACUUUAAGUUGGGAGGAAGGGCAGUAAGUUACUACCCUGAAGUUUUGACGUUACCAACAGAAUGAGCACCGGCUAACUCUGUGCCAGCAGCCGCGGUAAUACAGAGGUUGCAAGCGUUAAUCGGAAUUAUUGUGAGUAAAGAGCGGGUAGGUGGUUCAGUAAGAUGGGUGUGAAAUCCCCGGGCUUAACCUGGGAACUGCUUUCAUAACUGCUGGGCUAGAGUACGGUAGAGGGUAGUGGAAUUUCCUGUGUAGCGGUGAAAUGCGUAGAUAUAGGAAGGAACACCAGUGGCGAAGGCGACUACCUGGACUGAUACUGACACUGAGGUGCGAAAGCGUGGGGAGCAAAC